rnacentral:rRNA from 1 species
UACAGAGGUGGCAAGCGUUGUUCGGAAUUACUGGGCGUAAAGGGCGCGUAGGCGGUCUCGUAAGUCCUGUGUGAAAUCCCCCGGCUCAACUGGGGAACUGCACAGGAGGCUGCUUGGCUUGAGUUCGGGAGAGGGAAGCGGAAUUCCGGGUGUAGCGGUGAAAUGCGUAGAUAUCCGGAGGAACACCGGUGGCGAAGGGCGGCAUCCUGGACCAACACUGACGCUGACGUGAGCGAAAGCCAGGGGAGCAAACGGG